UAAGGAAUAUUGGUCAAUGGACGCAAGUCUGAACCAGCCACGCCGCGUGAAGGAUGAAGGUCCUCUGGAUUGUAAACUUCUUUUAUCUGGGACGAAAACGGGAUUUUUAUCUCAAUUGACGGUACCAGAGGAAUAAGCACCGGCUAACUCCGUGCCAGCAGCCGCGGUAAUACGGAGGGUGCGAGCGUUAUCCGGAUUUACUGGGUUUAAAGGGUGCGUAGGUUGGCUUAUAAGUCAGUGGUGAAAUCUCCGAGCUUAACUUGGAAACUGCCGUUGAUACUAUAGGUCUUGAAUUAUCUGGAGGUAAGCGGAAUAUGUCAUGUAGCGGUGAAAUGCUUAGAUAUGACAUAGAACACCAAUUGCGAAGGCAGCUUACUACAUAUAAAUUGACGCUGAGGCACGAAAGCGUGGGGAUCAAACA
rnacentral:rRNA from 1 species